rnacentral:misc_RNA from 1 species
GCACACUCUUCUCCCUCACACAGUUUCAAGAAAUUCAUAUUUUCAGUUUCCAAUAUGCCUGCCCCUGUUUCCACGCUGCCACUGAUGCCUGUUGAUGUCUCUUGCCCUCCUCCACCUCUGCACAUUUCUCAUUCUUUCGAAAAUCUUGCGAAUUUGAUAGAGCUUGUGUGACUGUUGAGUAAUAACGUUCACUGUUGAGGAAGAUUCACUCAAGAUUAUCUCAUAACCAUCUCGAAAAUCAUCCAUUCCCUCGGUUAGAAGUUGCCAAAACAGGCCUCCAACAGCUGCACCUCCUCUUUU